CACAACUCUAACAGAUGAUGGUUGAACGCACCACUUAACGCACUCUCAGCUCACAAAAUGACCCUUACAAUGCUCCAGCAAGGGUAUCCUUUAAUCAGUUGCUGUCAUAAAAAUGACUUAUACUCGUAUCGCUCUAUCCAUCCUUUGGUGUCCACUGGUUCUGGUUCCUCUAUCUCUAUCCAUCCAACUUUUCUCCUCCUCGUCACCUCAUUUUCAUUCACGUAACAAAAUCGGCCCAGGCGUCUAGCAGCCAUGUUUUCUCUUCCGUCGUUCACACGACCACUUCUCCACUGUCACACCACACGCGUGCAUAUGUGGUAGCCGCGCAGUGUUAUUGUUCUCUCCACCACUCACUCCUUUGUCGACAGCAGCUGAUCCGGCGUGUCUUACUGAGAAAAUUUAGCAUCGCUGAGUCUCCUCAAUGGCACAAGAAAAGAGACGGGAACAACUCUAACUCGCUGGAGGUGGAGUACUAGUAUAAUACGGAGUAUAAAAUGCCGCUAACGUUGCAACUCGUUGGUGCAUGCCCAGCAAGUCCGGAUCUUGCUGCACCGGCAAUGGAUCAGGCCGCCUCCUACUCCACCACCACCACGCCCCUGCUGCUGAUCCUCGGCUCCCUCACGCUCGCGGUCUCGCUGUUCGUGCUGAUUGGUCGCAGCAGCCAUGGACGCGGGAAGGCGGGGCUCCCGCCCGGCCCGCCGGCGCUGCUCUUCCUCGCCAAGUUCGUCGCGCUCCGCCGGUCCAUAUUCGACCUGGGCCCGCUGCUCGUCGACCUUCACGCGCGCCACGGCCCCGUCAUCUCCGUGCGCCUCUUCCGCACGCUCGUCUUCGUCGCCGACCGCAAGCUGGCCCACCGCGCGCUCGUCCAGGGCGGCGCCACCUUCGCCGACAGGCCGCCGCCGGUCGACCCUGUCCGCAUGUUCACUUCCGGGGGACGUGACAUCAGCUCCUCCUCCUACGGGCCGUACUGGCGCCUCCUCCGCCGGAACCUCGCCGGGGAGGCGCUCAGCCCUGCCCGUGUUGGUCUCUUCGCGCCGGCGAGGAGGUGGGCGUGCGACGGCCUCGUCUCCAGCCUCCUCAGCGAGCAGCAAUCGCAGCGCCAGGACGCCGUGACGCUCAGGCCGCUCCUGCGCCGGGCCAUGUUCGAGCUGCUCGUGUACAUGUGCUUCGGCGCACGGCUCGGACGGGAAACGCUCGACGAGGUGGAGGAGCUGCAGCACCAGGCGCUACUCUCGGUCACCACAUUCCCGGUCUUCGCCUUCUUCCCGGCGGUCACUAAGAGACUCUUCGGCAGACGCUGGGCGGCGUGCCUCGCUGUGCGCAGGAGGCAGGACGAGGUAUUCGUCCCGCUCAUCCACGCGAAGCGCGGCGACGGUGACCCGCCGUGCUACGCCGACUCCCUCCUCGCCGUCCGCGUGGCCGAUGAGGGCGGCCGCCAGCUCACUGACGCCGAGAUGGUCGCCCUCUGCUCCGAGUUCAUGAACGGUGGAACAGAUACCACGGUGACCUUGCUGGAGUGGAUCGUGGCCGAGCUCGUGCAACACCCCGACGUCCAGACCAAGGUCUACGAGGAGGUGAAAGCUAAUCCAGAGCUCAACAACCUGCAGGCAAUGCCGUACCUGAAGGCCGUCGUGCUCGAGGGCCUUCGGCUGCACCCGCCAGGCCACUUCGUCCUCCCGCACGGCGUGCAGAGCGGCGACGCGGAGAUCGCGGCCUACGCGGUGCCCAAGGGAGCGGAGGUCAACUUCCUGGUAGCGGAGAUUGGCCGCGACGAGACUGUGUGGACGGCGGCGCGGGAGUUCCGUCCGGAGAGGUUCCUGGAGGGCGGCGAGGGGCACGGAGUGGACAUCACGGGGAGCAGGGAGAUCAAGAUGAUGCCUUUCGGCGCAGGGCGCAGGAUGUGCCCGGGGUACACGCUGGGCAUGCACCACGCCGAGUACUUCGUGGCGAGAAUGGUGAGGGAGCUGGAGUGGCGGCCGGCAGCGGAGGGGGCGAAGGUGGACAUGGCGGAGACGCUCGAUUUCACCACCGUGAUGAAGCACCCGCUCCGUGCGCUCAUCGUCUCCAGAAGCUAACGAUUUCCCACGCAGAAUGCAACCUCUCGACAUAUGAGUCGAAGAAUACGUCGACGCAACUUUUUUAUGGCGUUUAAAAGUAUUUGAGUUUUUAAUUUGUACUCUACUUACUAAAUCAAACAUAUUAAGGUUUGAUCAUGUCUAUAAAAAAUACACCAACAUCUGCAACACUGGAUUUUUUUACAUCAGUACAAACACAAGCUACAUAAGCUCUCAUAUAUACACGCAUACGCUCA
rnacentral:rRNA from 1 species